rnacentral:rRNA from 1 species
UACGUAGGGCGCAAGCGUUAUCCGGAAUUAUUGGGCGUAAAGAGCUCGUAGGCGGUUUGUCGCGUCUGCCGUGAAAGUCCGGGGCUCAACUCCGGAUCUGCGGUGGGUACGGGCAGACUAGAGUGAUGUAGGGAGACUGGAAUCCUGGUGUAGCGGUGAAAUGCGCAGAUAUCGGGAGGAACACCAAUGGCGAAGGCAGCUCGCUGGGACGGUACUGACGCUGAGACGCGAAAGCGUGGGAGCAACAGG